AGGGCGACUCGGGAAACAGUAGGGUGAGGGAAAAAAGGAGGAAAGAACAAAACUGUCCACAUGAGCCUUUGCUGCUGGGUUGUGAGCUAUUCUUAUCCUGUCAGCACAAUUAAUGAGGGAAAAAUAGUCCCCAGAAGAAAUGUGGCUGGAGGCACUGAACUGCCCUCCAUCCCCCUCGCGCCAAGAGGGACAAAGUCUAGAGUAAGUUUCCCCAGCGGAGUUACUGGGAAAGCGACUGCUUGGCCCUGGGUGAAACUUUGAGAUCAACUUCAGGGACAAGUUAAUUUAGGGCCAAGUGUAUGCAUAGAACUGCAAACGCAAAGGAAGAAUCUCUCUCCUCAAAUCGUGUACAGCGUAUCUGGGGAGCGAACAGCAACACACUAGAUAUGACAAAAGGACCUCACAAAGCAGUGGGUCAGCCCCAGCUGGCCCGUGAGGGUCACAGCAGUUUUCAGGGUCUUGGUCUACAGUCAGCCCUGCUCCUGGUGGAAGAUGCUUCUGUUCCCAUGCAGACCACGGAGGCGGCAGGAGGGGGACAGGGAAGGUUAUGACAUGCCCAGGGUGAGCCAUGCGAAGACACUUGUUUUCCUGCUGGUACAUCUUACAUCUCAUGUUGCUGGUAUGGCUGAGUUGGGCUCAGCAAGCAGAGGAAAGGUGCUAUGUGGAAAGGAAACCUGAGCGGGUGAUGAGGGCUAACUCUUUAACACACAACCCCACGUCACAGUGCCUUAACACAACAGAAGUUACAUCUUGCUCAUGGAACCAUUUAACGUCAGUGUCU